rnacentral:rRNA from 2 species
AGGAUGAACGCUGGCGGCGUGCCUAAUACAUGCAAGUCGAGCGAACGGACGAGAAGCUUGCUUCUCUGAUGUUAGCGGCGGACGGGUGAGUAACACGUGGAUAACCUACCUAUAAGACUGGGAUAACUUCGGGAAACCGGAGCUAAUACCGGAUAAUAUUUUGAACCGCAUGGUUCAAAAGUGAAAGACGGUCUUGCUGUCACUUAUAGAUGGAUCCGCGCUGCAUUAGCUAGUUGGUAAGGUAACGGCUUACCAAGGCAACGAUGCAUAGCCGACCUGAGAGGGUGAUCGGCCACACUGGAACUGAGACACGGUCCAGACUCCUACGGGAGGCAGCAGUAGGGAAUCUUCCGCAAUGGGCGAAAGCCUGACGGAGCAACGCCGCGUGAGUGAUGAAGGUCUUCGGAUCGUAAAACUCUGUUAUUAGGGAAGAACAUAUGUGUAAGUAACUGUGCACAUCUUGACGGUACCUAAUCAGAAAGCCACGGCUAACUACGUGCCAGCAGCCGCGGUAAUACGUAGGUGGCAAGCGUUAUCCGGAAUUAUUGGGCGUAAAGCGCGCGUAGGCGGUUUUUUAAGUCUGAUGUGAAAGCCCACGGCUCAACCGUGGAGGGUCAUUGGAAACUGGAAAACUUGAGUGCAGAAGAGGAAAGUGGAAUUCCAUGUGUAGCGGUGAAAUGCGCAGAGAUAUGGAGGAACACCAGUGGCGAAGGCGACUUUCUGGUCUGUAACUGACGCUGAUGUGCGAAAGCGUGGGGAUCAAACAGGAUUAGAUACCCUGGUAGUCCACGCCGUAAACGAUGAGUGCUAAGUGUUAGGGGGUUUCCGCCCCUUAGUGCUGCAGCUAACGCAUUAAGCACUCCGCCUGGGGAGUACGACCGCAAGGUUGAAACUCAAAGGAAUUGACGGGGACCCGCACAAGCGGUGGAGCAUGUGGUUUAAUUCGAAGCAACGCGAAGAACCUUACCAAAUCUUGACAUCCUUUGACAACUCUAGAGAUAGAGCCUUCCCCUUCGGGGGACAAAGUGACAGGUGGUGCAUGGUUGUCGUCAGCUCGUGUCGUGAGAUGUUGGGUUAAGUCCCGCAACGAGCGCAACCCUUAAGCUUAGUUGCCAUCAUUAAGUUGGGCACUCUAAGUUGACUGCCGGUGACAAACCGGAGGAAGGUGGGGAUGACGUCAAAUCAUCAUGCCCCUUAUGAUUUGGGCUACACACGUGCUACAAUGGACAAUACAAAGGGCAGCGAAACCGCGAGGUCAAGCAAAUCCCAUAAAGUUGUUCUCAGUUCGGAUUGUAGUCUGCAACUCGACUACAUGAAGCUGGAAUCGCUAGUAAUCGUAGAUCAGCAUGCUACGGUGAAUACGUUCCCGGGUCUUGUACACACCGCCCGUCACACCACGAGAGUUUGUAACACCCGAAGCCGGUGGAGUAACCUUUUAGGAGCUAGCCGUCGAAGGUGGGACAAAUGAUUGGGGUG